GACGAACGCUGGCGGCGUGCUUAACACAUGCAAGUCGAGCGGAAAGGCCCUGCUUUUGUGGGGUGCUCGAGUGGCGAACGGGUGAGUAACACGUGAGUAACCUGCCCUUGACUUUGGGAUAACUUCAGGAAACUGGGGCUAAUACCGGAUAGGAGCUCCUGCUGCAUGGUGGGGGUUGGAAGGUUUCGGCGGUUGGGGAUGGACUCGCGGCUUAUCAGCUUGUUGGUGGGGUAGUGGCUUACCAAGGCUUUGACGGGUAGCCGGCCUGAGAGGGUGACCGGCCACAUUGGGACUGAGAUACGGCCCAGACUCCUACGGGAGGCAGCAGUGGGGAAUAUUGCACAAUGGGCGGAAGCCUGAUGCAGCAACGCCGCGUGCGGGAUGACGGCCUUCGGGUUGUAAACCGCUUUCGCCUGUGACGAAGCGUGAGUGACGGUAAUGGGUAAAGAAGCACCGGCUAACUACGUG
rnacentral:rRNA from 1 species